rnacentral:sRNA from 1 species
AAAAAAACACAAUUUUACCGUUUUGUCGGAAAAAUGCAAGUCUCCGAUUUUUAUAAUUUUUACCGAAAAAUGCAAUUUCUCAAUUGUUCUUUAAAAUCAUGAUUUUUGAUUUAUCAAUAAUAACAAUAAUAAAAUGGGCUGACCACGGGUUGCCCAUAUGGACAUGGUCUUUAUUGGGCAUGGACAUUUUCGGACCAUUGUUCAUUAUGAACCGUCCAACUUGGCCCAUAAAAAAAAAUUGUUUGUACGGAUACACCCAAUAGUCUCUGGACGGACCAUUUGACAGCUCUAUAUCUAAUCGAUUAAACCAAACAACCAUCAAAUCGACAAGUAGAGAGUAGAGAUUAGAGAAAAGACUUACGGCGGGUCGAUUUCGCGAUGAGGAUGAAGCUCUGGUGAAUUC